rnacentral:lncRNA from 10 species
CGGAGAGGCAGCAGCACCCCGAGCUGUCAGGCGUUCCGCCGCGGCCGCGAGGCCCGCCGGCCGGCGGGGAGCUACGCCCGGACGGCCAGCAGGCCCGCGGGAGUGGGGCUGCCGCGGCUGAGGCGAGGCGGGCCGCGCGCGUCGGCGUCACAGCCCGCGGCAGAGGCGCCCAGGGCGGCCGGGCCCACGACGCCGAAAGCGCCGCUGCGGUUGCCGCCUCGGAGGCUCCCCCGGGCCCCGGCGGCUGGACCCGGCGCGGGCGGGAGGCUCGGGCGGGCGGUCCGGCCCGGGACUCGGGUUUGGGCGACCAGGAGGUGCCGGUGGCCGCGCUCGGACCCGGUGACUUAAGAGAUUAAAAUUAAUUUGGUUGCUGUUGGUUCUGAACAAAUAAUGAGUUCUUUUAUUUGAGGUAUGCCAUUUUGAAGACUGAGACGUUGGAGUUUUAUCCUAGAGGAUAAAGGAAAUCUUUGGGAAAGUCAGUAUUUUAUAUAGCAAAAAUAUGAACCUCAAACUGAAUCCUCUAAAGGCCCCAUACAAUGAAGUAGACAUUGGUGGAAACAUUUAUAAAUACCUGGGCACAGGACUUCAAAGCAAACACAGAUUCCCCCUCCCCCUUAAUAUUUAAGAAUUAAAAGAUGAUGAG